rnacentral:tRNA from 1 species
GGACGCAUAGCUCAGUUGGUUAGAGCGCUGCAUUCACACUGCAGAGGUCUCAGGUUCGAGUCCUGAUGCGUCCACCA